rnacentral:rRNA from 1 species
AAUGAACGCUGGCGGCAGGCCUAACACAUGCAAGUCGAACGGGUGCCUUCGGGUGCUAGUGGCGGACGGGUGAGUAACGCGUGGGAACAUACCCUUUGGUACGGAAUAGCCUCGGGAAACUGAGAGUAAUACCGUAUGUGCUCGAGAGAGGAAAGAUUUAUCGCCAAAGGAUUGGCCCGCGUUGGAUUAGGUAGUUGGUGGGGUAAUGGCCUACCAAGCCGACGAUCCAUAGCUGGUUUGAGAGGAUGAUCAGCCACACUGGGACUGAGACACGGCCCAGACUCCUACGGGAGGCAGCAGUGGGGAAUCUUAGACAAUGGGGGAAACCCUGAUCUAGCCAUGCCGCGUGAUCGAUGAAGGCCUUAGGGUUGUAAAGAUCUUUCAGAUGGGAAGAUAAUGACGGUACCAUCAGAAGAAGCCCCGGCUAACUCCGUGCCAGCCGCCGCCGUAA